UGCGGGUGUAGUUUAGUGGUAAAACCUCAGCCUUCCAAGCUGAUGAUGUGAGUUCGAUUCUCAUCACCCGCUCC
rnacentral:tRNA from 1 species